rnacentral:misc_RNA from 1 species
GUAGGUGAACCUGCGGAAGGAUCAUUAACACGUACCCUUUCUUUACAAACCACUUACUCGUCUGUCGCAAGGCAGAUGGUGAACUAGAUGGCUUUCUUCCGAAUGCAGCAAUGCAUUUGGCCCUGUGAUAAGAUGGAUAGAUGCUAACAGGGAGCGGGAAGUCGGCUGGCAGUACUAAUUCAGUUGUGCUGUCGGCUAAACUAAGCAUUUGUCUAAAUCAUUAACCCCAAUACCUUUUCGACAGAAACUUUUUUCGACAGAGCUUCGGCUUUUAGAAAAUCAUUAUAAAAUCUAUACAACUUUUAGCAAUGGAUGUCUAGGUUCUC